rnacentral:lncRNA from 1 species
AUGCAUGUAACACAAACAUUCCCAGCACUUAAGUGGCUUAUCUAUUCCUGUCUAUUAUAUAUUCCCUGUCUCUAUCUAUUCCCUGUCUCUAUAUAUUCCCUGUCUCUAUCUAUUCCCUGUCUCUAUCUAUUCCCUGUCUCUAUAUAUUCCCUGUCUCUAUCUAUUCCCUGUCUCUAUAUAUUUCCAUCUCUAUCUAUUCCCUGUCUCUAUCUAUUCCCUGUCUCUAUCUAUUUCCAUCUCUAUCUAUUCCCUGUCUCUAUCUAUUCCUGUCUAUUAUAUAUUCCCUGUCUCUAUCGAUUCCCUGUCUCUAUUGAUUCCCUGUCUCUAUCUAUUCCCUGUCUAUUAUAUAUUCCCCGUCUCUAUAUAUUCCCCGUCUCUAUCUAUUCCUGUCUCUACCUAUUCCCUGUCUCUAUCUAUUCCCUGUCUCUACCUAUUCCUGUCUAUUAUAUAUUCCCUGUCUCUAUCUAUUCCCUGUCUCUAUUUAUUCCCUAUCUAUAUCUAUUCCGGUUCUCUAUCUAUUCCCUGCUCUGUCUAUUCCUAUCUAUAUCUAUUCACUGUCUAUCUUAUUCCUGCUCUCUAGCUAUCCUCUCAUCCAUUCUGGUUCUCUGUCUAUUCCUAUCUAUAUCUAUUCACUGUCUAUCUAUUCCCGUUCUAUCUAUUCCUGUCUCUACCUAUUCCCUGUCUCUACCUAUUCCCUGUCUCUAUCUAUUCCCUGUCUCUACCUAUUCCUGUCUAUUAUAUAUUCCCUGUCUCUAUCUAUUCCCUGUCCUCUACCUAUUCCUGUCUAUAUAUAUUCCCUGUCUCUAUCUAUUCCCUGUCUCUACCUAUUCCUGUCUAUUAUAUAUUCCCUGUCUCUAUAUAUCCCUGUCUCUACCUGUAUUCCUGUCUAUUAUAUAUUCCCUGUCUCUAUCUAUUCCCUGUCUCUACCUAUUUCUGUCUAUUAUAUAUUCCCUGUCUCUAUCUAUUCCCUGUCUCUACCUAUUCCUGUCUAUUAUAUAUUCCCUGUCUCUAUCUAUUCCUGUUUCUAUCUAUUCCCUGUCUCCACCUAUUCCUGUCUAUUAUAUAUUCCCUGUCUCUAUCUAUUCCCUGUCUCUAUUUAUUCCCUGUCGCUAUCUAUUACUGUCCUAA